rnacentral:rRNA from 1 species
UACGAAGGGGGCUAGCGUUGCUCGGAAUCACUGGGCGUAAAGCGCACGUAGGCGGAUUGUUAAGUCAGGGGUGAAAUCCUGGAGCUCAACUCCAGAACUGCCUUUGAUACUGGCGAUCUCGAGUCCGGGAGAGGUGAGUGGAACUGGCGAGUGUAGAGGUGAAAUUCGUAGAUAUUCGCAAGAACACCAGUGGCGAAGGCGGACUCACUGGCCCGGUACUGGACGCUGAGGUGCGAAAGCG